rnacentral:rRNA from 1 species
UGCAAGUCGAGCGCACCUUCNGGUGAGCGGCGGACGGGUUAGUAACGCGUGGGAAUAUACCCNGUUCUAAGGAAUANCCACUGGAAACGGUGAGUAAUACCUUAUACGCCCUUCGGGGGAAAGAUUUAUCGGAAUUGGAUUANNCCGCGUUAGAUUANAUAGUUGGNGGGGUAACGGNCUACCAAGUCNACNAUCUAUAGCUGGNUUGAGAGGAUGAUCANCAACACUGGGACUGAGACACGGCCCANACUCCUACGGGAGGCNGCAGUGGGGAAUCUUANACAAUGGGCGAAAGCCUGAUCUANCCNUGCCNCGUGAGUGAUGAAGGCCCUANGGUCGUAAAGCUCUUUCNCCANAGAUGAUAAUGACAGUAUCUGGUAAAGAAACCCCGGCUAACUCCGUGCCANCAGCCGCGGUAAUACGGAGGGGGUUAGCGUUGUUCGGAAUUACUGGGCGUAAAGCGUACGUANGCGGACUGAUCANUGAGAGGUGAAAUCCCAGGGNUCAACCCUGGAACUGCCUUUCAUACUGUCAGUCUUGAGUUCNAGAGAGGUGAGUGGAAUUCC